GGAGAUUCCGCCACCUGACCCAGGAGCUCCCUGCAGGUAGAGACAGCCACGCCUACCUCCUCCCACCGAAAACCCCAGCUUCCCGAAAAAGGAUAUGAAGAGUAUGAGUCCCGUGGCCGGAGGAACCGUGGCUGCUUGACAAGGAGGAGUAACAGGUCGGAUUUAAGUGGCUGCAUGGGAGGCAACCCACUGCAAGCGCAGCAAGUGGGGCAUUAGACAGCCUGUGAACGCCAAAGAAUAACCAAUCAGACGCCAGCAGAUAAACCUGAGUGGCUUCUUGCGACUGCCCGUCCAUCAACGGAGUCCCCAGCCAACCCCAGGGGGACACUAAACCCUCAAGCCUUCCCCGACCUAUUCCGGCCUAUAAAGACCCUGGGCAGCAGGGCCACAUGUGAUU